AAACCAUGCUGUGGACACUUCCACAAAAGGUCCUUGAAUCACUCCCAUGUCUCAAACAUGGAUUCAAGCUCCAUCUGAACAAAUGACAAUAUUUUAUUAUGAAACU